AUUGAACGUUGGCGGCAGGCCUAACACAUGCAAGUCGAACGAGAAAGUACCUUCGGGUGCGAGUAAAGUGGCGGACGGGUGAGUAACGCGUAGGAAUAUACCUAGUAGUGGGGGACAACUCGGGGAAACUCGAGCUAAUACCGCAUACGCUCUACGGAGGAAAGUGGGGGAUCUUCGGACCUCACGCUAUUAGAGUAGCCUGCGUUGGAUUAGCUUGUUGGUGAGGUAAAGGCUCACCAAGGCGACGAUCCAUAGCUGGUCUGAGAGGACGAUCAGCCACACUGGAACUGAGACACGGUCCAGACUCCUACGGGAGGCAGCAGUGGGGAAUAUUGGGCAAUGGGCGCAAGCCUGACCCAGCCAUGCCGUGUGUGUGAAGAAGGCCUUCGGGUUGUAAAGCACUUUCAGCAGCGAAGAAACGCUG
rnacentral:rRNA from 1 species